rnacentral:rRNA from 1 species
AGAGUUUGAUCAUGGCUCAGGAUGAACGCUAGCGGCAGGCCUAAUACAUGCAAGUCGAACGCUCAGUAGCAAUACUGGGAGUGGCGCACGGGUGCGUAACGCGUACACAAUCUACCUCUAAGCGGGGGACACCUCCUGGAAACGGGGAUUAAUACCGCAUAAUAUGCCGAAGUCGCAUGACUUUGGUAUUAAAGCAGCAAUGCACUUAGAGAUGAGUGUGCGUCCCAUUAGGUAGUUGGUGAGGUAACGGCUCACCAAGCCUAUGAUGGGUAGCCGGUCUGAGAGGAUGGUCGGCCACACGGGCACUGAGACACGGGCCCGACUCCUACGGGAGGCAGCAGUAAGGAAUAUUGGUCAAUGGUGGAACACUGAACCAGCCAUGCCGCGUGGAGGAAUAAGGUCCUACGGAUUGUAAACUCCUUUUGACGAGGAAGAAAAUGUUAGAUUUAUCUAAUUUUGACGGUACUCGUAGAAUAAGCACCGGCUAACUCCGUG